rnacentral:rRNA from 1 species
GGAAAGGCGCGCGAUACAGGGUGACAGCCCCGUACACAAAAAUGCACAUGCUGUGAGCUCGAUGAGUAGGGCGGGACACGUGGUAUCCUGUCUGAAUAUGGGGGGACCAUCCUCCAAGGCUAAAUACUCCUGACUGACCGAUAGUGAACCAGUACCGUGAGGGAAAGGCGAAAAGAACCCCGGCGAGGGGAGUGAAAAAGAACCUGAAACCGUGUACGUACAAGCAGUGGGAGCACGCUUAGGCGUGUGACUGCGUACCUUUUGUAUAAUGGGUCAGCGACUUAUAUUCUGUAGCAAGGUUAACCGAAUAGGGGAGCCGAAGGGAAACCGAGUCUUAACUGGGCGUUAAGUUGCAGGGUAUAGACCCGAAACCCGGUGAUCUAGCCAUGGGCAGGUUGAAGGUUGGGUAACACUAACUGGAGGACCGAACCGACUAAUGUUGAAAAAUUAGCGGAUGACUUGUGGCUGGGGGUGAAAGGCCAAUCAAACCGGGAGAUAGCUGGUUCUCCCCGAAAGCUAUUUAGGUAGCGCCUCGUGAAUUCAUCUCCGGGGGUAGAGCACUGUUUCGGCAAGGGGGUCAUCCCGACUUACCAACCCGAUGCAAACUGCGAAUACCGGAGAAUGUUAUCACGGGAGACACACGGCGGGUGCUAACGUCCGUCGUGAAGAGGGAAACAACCCAGACCGCCAGCUAAGGUCCCAAAGUCAUGGUUAAGUGGGAAACGAUGUGGGAAGGCCCAGACAGCCAGGAUGUUGGCUUAGAAGCAGCCAUCAUUUAAAGAAAGCGUAAUAGCUCACUGGUCGAGUCGGCCUGCGCGGAAGAUGUAACGGGGCUAAACCAUGCACCGAAGCUGCGGCAGCGACACUAUGUGUUGUUGGGUAGGGGAGCGUUCUGUAA